UAUCUGGCAUUGUCACAUAAAGUCAGAUAAUAUGCUGGUAAAUGAGACAAAAAAUGUGUUGAAGCUUUGUGAUUUUGGUAAUGCCAUGUUUGCCGGAAAAAAUGAGAUCACACCGGAUCUUGUGAGCCGCUUUUACCGAGCUCCUGAAAUAAUUCUUGGCUUGCCAUAUGAUCAUCCCAUGGAUAUAUGGUCUGUUGUUUGCUGUUUAUAUGAGCUUUAUUUGGGGAAAGUCCUUUU